AGUGAAGAGGCCUUCAAAGGCCUCAGUGGUCGCCUCUCUGAUUUUGAUGGUGAUAAUGAUGUCAGAAGCGGGGUCUAUGAGUCUGAAACUGAGACCGCCGGUGGUGACAGUCUUCCUGAUGAAGAUGAACUUGCCAUUUCUAGGUUGGGUUUGCCCCAGCGACUUGUUGAGUCCCUUGAGAAACGUGGAAUUACUCAUCUUUUCCCCAUUCAGAGGGCUGUUUUAGUUCCGGCACUAGAAGGUCGAGAUCUCAUUGCUCGGGCAAAGACUGGGACAGGGAAGACAUUAGCCUUUGGGAUCCCAAUACUUAAACACCUUACAGAAGAUACGACACAACUAAGUCCACGAAGCCGAACUGGCCGGCUUCCUAGAGUUUUGGUCCUAGCACCAACUCGGGA
rnacentral:misc_RNA from 1 species